CAACAGCAAACUCAGCAACAGUCCUGAAACGAGCACUGCAGUUGCCUGGGGCACUCCGAGAAACCAUGCCCCUAGUCUCUGAGAGAAUUAAACCAAUUGGAUUUGGGAUUCCUAUGUUGAAGCUGAGCUGCUUUGAUUAGUGACUUCGAGAGAGAAGAUGGAUGAUGCCAAUUCCACUUCAGUUUGCCAAAGGGAGAAGAAGACUCUGGAAAGAAGCCUACAUGAGAAGAUCUGGCGGUGUUCAUCAUGUCCCUGUCUCCAGCUUGCUAUAAUGGAGACUGGGGAAUUUCCCAUUGGACUCUCUACGACUCUCUCUCUCCUCUCGGUUGAACUGAGUUCCCUUGUUCCCAAUGGGAGACCUCCUUCACUCUGUAUUGUUUGGUACAUAUUCUCCUAUGUAUACUUUUUUUGAUUUAUGUUUUGCUGUU